AAUUAGAUAAGCUAAUAUUAAGCUUAUAGGUUCAUACCCUAUCAAUAGAAGUAAAACCUUCUUCUAAUUA
rnacentral:tRNA from 1 species